GACGAACGCUGGCGGCAUGCUUAACACAUGCAAGUCGAACGGAAAGGCCCUGCUUUUGUGGGGUGCUCGAGUGGCGAACGGGUGAGUAACACGUGAGUAACCUGCCCUUGACUUUGGGAUAACUUCAGGAAACUGGGGCUAAUACCGGAUAGGAGCUCCUGCUGCAUGGUGGGGGUUGGAAAGUUUCGGCGGUUGGGGAUGGACUCGCGGCUUAUCAGCUUGUUGGUGGGGUAGUGGCUUACCAAGGCUUUGACGGGUAGCCGCACUGAGAGGGUGACCGGCCACAUUGGGACUGAGAUACGGCCCAGACUCCUACGGGAGGCAGCAGUGGGGAAUAUUGCACAAUGGGCGGAAGCCUGAUGCAGCAACGCCGCGUGCGGGAUGACGGCCUUCGGGUUGUAAACCGCUUUCGCCUGUGACGAAGCGUGAGUGACGGUAAUGGGUAAAGAAGCACCGGCUAACUACGUG
rnacentral:rRNA from 1 species